rnacentral:rRNA from 1 species
GACAGAGGUUGCAAGCGUUGUUCGGAAUUACUGGGCAUAAAGCGCACGUAGGCGGUCCGCUAAGUCAUGUGUGAAAUCCCCCGGCUCAACCGGGGAAUGGCGCCUGAUACUGGCGGACUCGAGAUCGGUAGGGGUGAGUGGAACUCCAGGUGGAGCGGUGAAAUGCGUAGAUAUCUGGAGGAACACCGGUGGCGAAAGCGACUCACUGGACCGACACUGACGCUGAGGUGCGAAAGCUAGGGUAGCAAACAGG